AGUGAACGCUGGCGGUAGGCCUAACACAUGCAAGUCGAACGGCAGCACAGUAAGAGCUUGCUCUUACGGGUGGCGAGUGGCGGACGGGUGAGGAAUACAUCGGAAUCUACUUUUUCGUGGGGGAUAACGUAGGGAAACUUACGCUAAUACCGCAUGCGACCUACGGGUGAAAGCAGGGGAUCUUCGGACCUUGCGCGAUUGAAUGAGCCGAUGUCGGAUUAGCUAGUUGGCGGGGUAAAGGCCCACCAAGGCGACGAUCCGUAGCUGGUCUGAGAGGAUGAUCAGCCACACUGGAACUGAGACACGGUCCAGACUCCUACGGGAGGCAGCAGUGGGGAAUAUUGGACAAUGGGCGCAAGCCUGAUCCAGCCAUACCGCGUGGGUGAAGAAGGCCUUCGGGUUGUAAAGCCCUUUUGUUGGGAAAGAAAAGCAGCAGGUUAAUACCCCGCUGUUCUGACGGUACCCAAAGAAUAAGCACCAGCUAACUUCGUG
rnacentral:rRNA from 1 species